GAUGAACGCUGGCGGCGUGCCUAAUACAUGCAAGUCGAGCGAACGGACGAGAAGCUUGCUUCUCUGAUGUUAGCGGCGGACGGGUGAGUAACACGUGGAUAACCUACCUAUAAGACUGGGAUAACUUCGGGAAACCGGAGCUAAUACCGGAUGAUAUUUUGAACCGCAUGGUUCAAAAGUGAAAGACGGUCUUGCUGUCACUUAUAGAUGGAUCCGCGCUGCAUUAGCUAGUUGGUAAGGUAACGGCUUACCAAGGCAACGAUGCAUAGCCGACCUGAGAGGGUGAUCGGCCACACUGGAACUGAGACACGGUCCAGACUCCUACGGGAGGCAGCAGUAGGGAAUCCUCCGCAAUGGACGAAAGCCUGACGGAGCAACGCCGCGUGAGUGAUGAAGGUCUUCGGAUCGUAAAACUCUGUUAUUAGGGAAGAACAUAUGUGUAAGUAACUGUGCACAUCUUGACGGUACCUAAUCAGAAAGCCACGGCUAACUACGUG
rnacentral:rRNA from 1 species